UAAUCCCCACUAUACCAUCUCCAUUGAACAUUGUACAGGAAGUCCUAAUCAGUGCAAUCAAACAAGAAAAAGAAAAGGUGAGAGGAAGUGGCGGCGGCGGGCGGCGGCGGCCGGGGGCAGCAAAAGCUGGGGCUGCGCGAGCUGCAAGCAACCGCUGAGGCGGCGGCGCCUCAGACUCCCGGGAGCUGGAGUCUAAGCGGGCGGGCGCCGCGGGUGGGCGGUCAGUCGGUCACCUCGGAGCCCGCCAGCGGGUGCCCGCGCAAGCUCUCAGCGCGGCCGGCUGGCGCGGCUUCAGGGCGGGAAGAUGCCGCGCGUUGUGCCCGACCAGAGAAGCAAGUUCGAGGACGAGGAGUUCUUCAGGAAGCUGAGCCGCGAGUGUGAGAUUAACUACAAGGGAUUCAGGGACCGGCCCCAGGAGGAGCGCCAGGCGCGCUUCCCGAACUGCUGCCGCGACGGCCGCUCGGAAAUCGCUUUUGUGGCCACAGGAACCAAUCUGUCUCUCCAGUUUUUUCCGUCCAGCUGGCAGGGAGAACAGCGACCGACACCUAGCCGAGAGUAUGUCGACCUAGAAAGAGAAGCAGGCAAGCACCCAAAAGGCCUUUGGAGAGACUCGGAGAAGGACACGUGAAUUUGAAGACAGACAGGUCUCAUCGGGAGGAAAUGGAGGCGAGAGUUUCACAGCUGCUGGCAGUAACUGGCAAGAAGACAAGACCCUAGUCCUGGUUCCCAUUUAGGUGGUGGUGAUGACCUCAAACUUCGUUAAUAGCACAGCAGAUGUGUGCCACCCAUCUGUACAUACACAUUGCUUCUAGUUGGCAGAAAUAAUUGAUUAGAAGACCAGAAACUGAUAACUGGAGGUACUACGGUCUAUUUCUCAACCUUAGGCAGUAAUAGACAUCAAAAACUGCCAUGGUUUUGCACUAUGAUUAUAAUACCUGCAUUUCUAAUUUUUAAAGCAUGUAGCCAGUAAUAAUUUGAAGUUUUUUUCUAUGCAAGCUUACCUUGUUGGCAUUAUUUUAGUGAGUUGAAACUAUCUACAUGUAAAGCUCUUUUUCCUCCAUUGUAAUUUAAAAGUUUGUGUCAUUUUAAAACAGGUCAAAAAAUUAAAAUUAUACCAGAGGGUUUCUCUAAUCAUUUUUUCUAAUUUUUUUUUGUACUUCUAGAUGUUUUGGUUAUACAGCUUCAUUUUAGAUGAGCAUUCUUGUUUUUUUGUUUUGUUUUGUUUGCCCCAUUUUCUUUUGUGUUUUUAUAGUUUUAUAGCAUUUUAAAACUGCUGAUGUUUGCAUUAUUUACAGGCUCAAUACCUAGUAGCCUAGAGCUGUCUGCCACAGCCUUCUAACGAAGUUUACAGUUAUUAAAGUUGCAGUAUCCUUUUAAAUGCUAAUAAUCAGCACUCUUUCUUUCUUCCUUUCUUUAAAAUUUUAUAUAUAGAGAGACAGGGUUUUGCAGUGUUGCCCAGGCUGGUCUCAAACUCCUGGCAUCAAACGAUCCUCCUGCCUCAGCCUCCCAGAGUGCUGGAAUUACAGGCUCUUUCUUUUUAAACGUAAAACUUUUAAAUUGGUAUUAACUCUGUAAUCUGACCCAGACUGUUUUAGCUUCUGUUCUAUCAUGAGUUUGGCUGGAGAUAGUCUCCAUAGAUGAUCUUCUACUGAAAUGCCUAAAGAAGUCACAGGCUGGCUUCUAUUUUAUUCAGGAAUUUUUUUUAAAAAGUCAAUCAGAAAAGGGAUACUGGAGCUUCUUCAUGUAUGUAACAGCAUAUUAAACUGGAGACAGUGAUGAAUCAGCUACAAAGGUAAUAUUAUUGUAUCAAAAUCAUGUUUAAGAUAGCUGCUUUUAUGUGUAUUUUAUAUUGCAUGCUUUUGUAAAAAACAUGCUGGGUGAUGAUGGAAGAUUAGUUUUAGAGAGAAAAUGUUCAUCUGUGCAGAGGAUACAUUUUCUUCCAUUAAUUCUGGAAAAAACAUUUUCAGCUAUAUAUAUGGUAUUUUGCAAAAGGACUAUUAAUAGAAACUUUUGAGAUGAAUUAAUGUAAGAAUAUUUUUUAAAUAGGCUUUCUGUCAAAUUGAGUGCAACUUAUUUUUAGAUACAGACUGGAAAAAAGUGCUAGGUCAUUUGGCACCUCCUUACAAAUAUUUUUCAUGGUCACAUUUAUUAAAUGUUACUACAUUUCUGAAUUUUUGAAAAAUGUAUUUUAUUGUAAAAUGGCAUUAUUUUAAUGAGUGAAAAACUGACACAGUCAAUUCAGAAAAUGAACUGAAGUCUGAAUAAGGUCUUUGCAUUUAAAAAGCAUAAAACUACUUGAUUGGUGAGGGAGGUGUUACUUUCAUUGUAUAUAGAUCUUAUUUCAUAACAGAUAUCCUGUAUCAGAAUAAAAAUAUGUGUUAUAUAUUUGAAGUCAUGCAUGGUAAGGAGUGUGUUUAAAUUGUUAUAAACAAUAAUGCAUCAUUAAAGGCCACGCUGAUCUUGUGUAACUAUAAGUACUAUGAAUGAAUUUGGUUGGCUUUGGUGUUGCACAGCUCACAUGUUUACACACUCAGUGCCCUAAUUUCCCCUAAGGGAAUCGCUAUUUAAGUGAUCCUUACAGUGGUGUUUGAUGGUUACUUUAUUACAGAGCUCCUUGGUUUUUGACUUCUGCACUUAAAUUUUUUUAAAUAACAUGAUGAUGGUACAUUUUCCUCUAUUGUCUAGCUAAGGGCUUUCAGUCCACCAGUAAAUACGAUCAAAUGCUAUGAAAUGUUCCUGUUACCAUCCUUCUGUAAAUACUGGAUUUUCCUGUCGUUUAGCACCACGCUGCUUCUGUCUGUCUUAAUGCUGGCAUUAAGAUCAUGAGCCCUUUUUCUCCAUUAGUGCAGGCUUUGAAAACUACUUCUAGUAAGUUAUUGAUGCAAUUUGAUAUUGUUUCAUAAUCUAUAUUUAAACAAAAUUACAUAAUUGCAUCAUCUUUUCUAAAUUCAUCUCCAUUAACACUUGCCUUAAGCUACCAGAUUGCUUUUGCCACCAUUAGCCAUACUGUGUGUUUGUAUGUUAAAUUUACUUUCACAAUAAACUUCUAUGUAGUAAAAAAAAAAAAAA